CCUACGGGAGGCAGCAGUGGGGAAUUUUGGACAAUGGGCGAAAGCCUGAUCCAGCAAUGCCGCGUGAGUGAAGAAGGCCUUCGGGUUGUAAAGCUCUUUUGUCAGGGAAGAAACGGUGUGGGCUAAUAUCCUGCACUAAUGACGGUACCUGAAGAAUAAGCACCGGCUAACUACGUGCCAGCAGCCGCGGUAAUACGUAGGGUGCAAGCGUUAAUCGGAAUUACUGGGCGUAAAGCGUGCGCAGGCGGUUUUGUAAGUCUGUCGUGAAAUCCCCGGGCUCAACCUGGGAAUUGCGAUGGAGACUGCAAGGCUAGAAUCUGGCAGAGGGGGGUAGAAUUCCACGUGUAGCAGUGAAAUGCGUAGAGAUGUGGAGGAACACCGAUGGCGAAGGCAGCCCCCUGGGUCAAGAUUGACGCUCAUGCACGAAAGCGUGGGGAGCAAACAGGAUUAGAUACCCUGGUAGUCCACGCCCUAAACGAUGUCUACUAGUUGUCGGGUUUUAAUUAACUUGGUAACGCAGCUAACGCGUGAAGUAGACCGCCUGGGGAGUACGGUCGCAAGAUUAAAACUCAAAUGAAAUUGACGG
rnacentral:rRNA from 1 species